GCACCUUAGUGAGAUUGAGUUGGGUCACUUCGAGUUGCUGCCGUCUUUAGCUUCAGGAGUCGGAGGUUUAUUUUUGUACCAGAUUUAAAGCCCUCCAUUUGGAGCAGGUUCUUAUUUAUCGCUUUAUUUAUUUAUUUCCCACAUCGCUUUUAUUUUAUUUAUUUCCCGCAUCGCUUUUAUUUUAUUUAUUUUCCCGCACUCGCUUUAUUUUAUUUAUUUCCCGCACUCGUUUUACAUUAUUUAUUUUCCGCACUCG
rnacentral:lncRNA from 1 species